UACGGGGGGGGCAAGCGUUGUUCGGAAUUACUGGGCGUAAAGGGCGCGUAGGCGGUUGGAUAAGUCAGCUGUGAAAACCACGGGCUUAACUCGUGGCCUGCAGUUGAGACUGUCUGGCUUGAGUGUGGGAGAGGAGAGUGGAAUUCCUGGUGUAGCGGUGAAAUGCGUAGAUAUCAGGAGGAACACCGGUGGCGAAGGCGGCUCUCUGGACCACAACUGACGCUGAGGCGCGAAAGCUAGGGGAGCAAAAGGG
rnacentral:rRNA from 1 species